GGAUAUUUACUGAUAAGGCUCACGUCAAUGCUUCAAGUAUUCACAUUAUUCAUUUUGAAAUGGUCGUAUUUAAUUUAAAAACAAGACCUGUUUUUACGUAUUUCCGUUAUUUGAUUUUAAUUAUUAUGCUCAGUUACAUCAUGCAAGUACAAAGUGCGGUGCCCAUUGACAUUGAAAUAGUGAGUUCAAAACCAGCCAGGGAUGAACCGAAAAUCAUCUUCAUGAUACCAGACAAGAAGCCACUGAUCUCAAGACGUAGAACAUCCCUUGCAAUACAAUAA